UACGGAGGAUGCAAGCGUUAUCCGGAAUGAUUGGGCGUAAAGCGUCCGCAGGUGGCUAUGUAAGUCUGCUGUUAAAGAGUGAGGCUCAACCUCAUAAGAGCAGUGGAAACUACAUGGCUAGAGUGCGUUCGGGGCAGAGGGAAUUCCUGGUGUAGCGGUGAAAUGCGUAGAUAUUGGGAAGAACACCGGUGGCGUAGGCGACUCGCUGGGCUGUAACUGACGCUGAGGAACGAAAGCCAGGGGAGCGAAUGGG
rnacentral:rRNA from 1 species